rnacentral:rRNA from 1 species
GACGAACGCUGGCGGCGUGCCUAAUACAUGCAAGUAGAACGCACAGUUUAUACCGUAGCUUGCUACACCAUAGACUGUGAGUUGCGAACGGGUGAGUAACGCGUAGGUAACCUGCCUGGUAGCGGGGGAUAACUAUUGGAAACGAUAGCUAAUACCGCAUAAUAUUAAUUAUUGCAUGAUAAUUAAUUGAAAGGUGCAAUUGCACCACUACCAGCUGGACCUGCGUUGUAUUAGCUAGUAGGUGAGGUAACGGCUCACCUAGGCGACGAUACAUAGCCGAACUGAGAGGGUGAUCCGCCACACUGGGACUGAGACCCGGCCCAGACCCCUACGGGAGGCAGCAGUAGGGAAUCUUCGGCAAUGGACGAAAGUCUGACCGAGCAACGCCGCGUGAGUGAAGAAGGUUUUCGGAUCGUAAAGCUCUGUUGUAAGAGAAGAACGGGUGUGAGAGUGGAAAGUUCACACUGUGACGGUAUCUUACCAGAAAGGGACGGCUAACUACGUG